rnacentral:rRNA from 1 species
AGCGAACGCUGGCGGCAGGCCUAACACAUGCAAGUCGAACGAAGUCUUCGGACUUAGUGGCGGACGGGUGAGUAACACGUGGGAACGUGCCUUUAGGUUCGGAAUAACUCAGGGAAACUUGUGCUAAUACCGAAUGUGCCCUUCGGGGGAAAGAUUUAUCGCCUUUAGAGCGGCCCGCGUCUGAUUAGCUGGUUGGUGAGGUAAUGGCUCACCAAGGCUACGAUCAGUAGCUGGUCUGAGAGGAUGACCAGCCACAUUGGGACUGAGACACGGCCCAAACUCCUACGGGAGGCAGCAGUGGGGAAUCUUGCGCAAUGGGCGAAAGCCCGACGCAGCCAUGCCGCGUGGAUGAUGAAGGUCUUAGGAUUGUAAAAUCCUUUCACCGGUGAAGAUAAUGACUGUAGCCGGAGAAGAAGCCCCGGCUAACUUCGUGCCAGCCGCCGCAGUAAAAC